rnacentral:rRNA from 1 species
AGCAGCUCAUUGGGCUUAAAGCGUGCGCAGGCGGUUUUGUAAGACAGAGGUGAAAUCCCCGGGCUCAACCUGGGAACUGCCUUUGUGACUGCAAGGCUGGAGUGCGGCAGAGGGGGAUGGAAUUCCGCGUGUAGCAGUGAAAUGCGUAGAUAUGCGGAGGAACACCGAUGGCGAAGGCAAUCCCCUGGGCCUGCACUGACGCUCAUGCACGAAAGCGUGGGGAGCAAACA